CCUACGGGCGGCAGCAGUGGGGAAUAUUGCACAAUGGGCGCAAGCCUGAUGCGGCCAUGCCGCGUGUGUGAAGAAGGCCCUCGGGUUGUAAAGCACUUUCAGCGGGGAGGAAGGCGUUAAGGUUAAUAACCUUGGCGAUUGACGUUACCCGCAGAAGAAGCACCGGCUAACUCCGUGCCAGCAGCCGCGGUAAUACGGAGGGUGCAAGCGUUAAUCGGAAUUACUGGGCGUAAAGCGCACGCAGGCGGUCUGUCAAGUCGGAUGUGAAAUCCCCGGGCUCAACCUGGGAACUGCAUUCGAAACUGGCAGGCUAGAGUCUUGUAGAGGGGGGUAGAAUUCCAGGUGUAGCGGUGAAAUGCGUAGAGAUCUGGAGGAAUACCGGUGGCGAAGGCGGCCCCCUGGACAAAGACUGACGCUCAGGUGCGAAAGCGUGGGGAGCAAACAGGAUUAGAUACCCUUGUAGUC
rnacentral:rRNA from 1 species